rnacentral:rRNA from 1 species
UACGUAGGGGCCUAGCGUUGUCCGGAUUUAUUGGGCGUAAAGAGCUCGUAGGCGGUUCGGCAAGUCGGAUGUGAAAUCUCCACGCUUAACGUGGAGGGGCCAUUCGAAACUGCCGUGACUCGAGUCCGGUAGGGGAGUGUGGAAUUCCUGGUGUAGCGGUGAAAUGCGCAGAUAUCAGGAAGAACACCCGUGGCGAAGGCGGUUCUCUGGGACGGUACUGACGCUGAGACGCGAAAGCGUGGGGAGCGAACAGG